AUUUGAGUUCCAAAGUAAGAUUAAAAAUUUGUUUUUUAUUCAACUUCAUGUACCUUAUAUUUCUUUGGUUAAGCUGGAUGAAAUCUUGUACCCACCAAGCUCACAAUAAGUCCAUAGUUGUGAGUUUGUGUUGAGGUUGAUUUCUACCAAGAAGUGAGUUCAAAAACUCUUUUACUUUAAGUUCAUACAUGUUCCAAGUGUUGAAACAAUCCAAGGUUCACCAUCUUCCAUAUGGAUGAACUUGUGUUUCGAUAGAAGUGUGAACCGUGGGAGCUUUGUGUGACAAACGGCAAAAUUCCGGAGAUUAGUGGACGGCUUUGGAAAAAUAUGUCCGUGUUGUUAUCAAGAACUCAAGCUUUUGAGAUGUCAUCCUGUUUUUCAGUUAUGUUGUUGUGUCGAACCGGUUUAAACUUUGAACAAUGUUGUUAAAGUGUAGUUGUUUUAUCCCGAACAAGAUGUUUGUGUUAUAAACUAUGGAUUCUAAACAAAUGUAUGGAUGAACUUCCUUUUA